AUUUGGUCUUCGCCAGAAAAGUUCGAUUCCCGCUAUGGCUCUGCUUCACUCUUCCUCUCAACUCUCAACUGUUCGAUGGACUCGUUCUUCUCAUCGUAUCUCUGCAACUCCACGCAGCCGAUUCUGCAACGUAAGGUCCUGUCUGCCAUUGCCGAUGCAGAAUGGGAAGUAUCGGAGAGAGCUUGAAGCAGCUGUCGAUGUGGUGCAGAGAGCUUGUCGUCUAUGCGUUGAUGUGAAAUCGUCACUUCUACGGGCUGAUGGACAAGUUCUGGAAAAGAAUGAUCAGACUCCAGUUACUGUUGCCGAUUUUGGAGUUCAGGCGCUAGUCAGUUUGGAGUUGGGUACUCUAUUUCCAUCUAUUCCAUUAGUAGCUGAGGAGGACUCUACAUUUUUACGUGCAAAUAAUUUAGCACAUUCGGUGCUGACAGUAGUAACUGAGAAGUCAAGUUCCCAAAAUGAGUUGACACAGGAUGAUGUUUUGGAAGCAAUUGACAGGGGAGCGAAUGUUGGAUUUGCUUUCGGAAGUAAGCCAGCCACAUACUGGGUAUUGGAUCCAAUUGAUGGUACACGGGGAUUUCUUAGAGGAAAUGAUGUCCUAUAUGUGGUAGGUUUGGCUCUUGUGGUUGAAGGAGAGAUUGUAUUAGGUGUUAUGGGAUGCCCCAACUGGCACGUAGAUUUGUCUGAAGAGUCUAACUCUGAAGAUCUUGAGCGUGGAGGUGUCUGGUCCAGAUCAGGAGCCAUAAUGAUUGCUCAAGCUGGAUAUGGAACAUGGACGAGGAGGUUAUCUGAUAUGCAAAGCCCAAGCAAAAUGUUUCAUAACUGGACUAGAUGCUUUGUUGAUGAAUACCGUCUUGUGCAUGAGGCACGCUUCUGUCUGCCAGAUAGUCAAACGUGGGAAUCGCUUCCCCCAUCAACUUCAUUACAGGCAACAACUAAUGCUGAUCACGUUGGGAAUGGUCAAAUUCUUCUUCUCCGAGCAUGUUGUGGAAGUUUAUGCAAGUAUUUCAUGGUGGCUUCUGGUAGGGCAUCUGUCUUCAUUCUUCGAAAAAAAUCUCAAACUAUUGUCAAGACUUGGGAUCAUGCAGUUGGCAUGAUUUGUGUGCAUGAAGCCGGUGGGAAGGUGACUGACUGGAAAGGCAGUGACAUUGAUCUUGCUGCUGAUCAAGCUGGCCGUAGGAUUUUAUCCCCUUCUGAUGGCAUUCUUGUCACUAAUGGCCACCUACACGAUCUUAUAAUUGAGAUGACGGCGUCCACUUCAUCAAUUAUUUGAUGCUGAGACUACAUACCACCUAAAUUUGAUGCGCAUUUGGAGAGCAACACUGGAAAGGCCUUUGGGGGAAGGUAAUUACGGUAAAUUCACAGGUUAGUAAUUUGUCUUAUCUUUGGAGCAAUGUUGGAGUUCUGCAUUCCCAGGUUAGUAAUUUGUCUUAUCUUAUGAAACAAUUAUUCAUGGCAUAUUGAGCACCGUAGAGGGAACAAAAGUAUCUUAAUGAAUCAAUGUGAAUUCAUUGGGUUCAAAUUAAAUGUUUUGGUUGUUUUCUUAUUCUCCUUUCAUUUUCUCUAACAAAUUUUUUUGAAAACAAUAAUUUUAAAUUUGAAUUCUUCCAUUUUCUAAUGUCUUGAUUGAAAAGAAAAGAAAAGAAAACCCUCCGGAAGAAAUGUUGCUGGGUUAAUAAAAUAUUAUUUGACCGUAGUGAUCUUAGAUUAAGAUGGAUUAGAAACUUGUGGACGUGAUUUUCAACUCCAGGGUGUAUAUAGUCCUCACAUACAUUCACUUUUUCCAUGCUAGAAGUGACCAUUUAGGCAUUAAAAAAUUCAUUAGUUUAGAAUUAGAAGUAGAACUGGUAGGCAGCUGGCUUCAACCAUUAAAUUUUGUAUAUCAUAUUAUCCAACUGAAACGUGUCAUAGCCUGGUUAAAAUGUAUAUAUGAAGUCCAUGGACUUUCAUAAACCUAAUUCUCAAAAUUAGAAUUAAAUAAGUUUUCAUACUUUAUUAGGCAUUUGGUUGCUUUAAUAAUUUAAAAAACCUCAACUAAUAAUAAAAUUUUUGGAGUUCAAGUGAUGAGAGUUAACUAGCUAAUUGUGUUUAUAAGAAGAUGAAGUUCAAGUAAUCAGAACUCAGUUGCUAAUUAUCUUGUGUUAGCAUUAUCACAAGAAAGUCUCUUGUUAGGGUUUCUGUUCUUUUUUGUAUUGCUAUGGUUAGGUUUUGAGUUAUUCAUAUUUUGAGGGUCUUUAAUUUUCAGUUAGAGUAUACACAAUAUGUCUCUAAUGUUUGUGGUAGGUUUCAGUUCUGCUUGCUUCUAGAAUAUGAAAUAAAUGUUUUAUUUUGGCUA